rnacentral:rRNA from 1 species
UACGUAGGGGGCAAGCGUUGUCCGGAAUUAUUGGGCGUAAAGGGCGCGCAGGCGGUACUAUAAGUCAGAUGUGAAAGGCUGUGGCUCAACCACAGAGUUGCAACUGAAACUGUAGAACUGGAGUGCAGGAGAGGAGAGUCGGAAUUCCGGUGUAGCGGUGGAAUGCGUAGAGAUCGGGAGGAACACCAGUGGCGAAGGCGGCUCUCUGGCCUGCAACUGACGCUGAGGCGCGAAAGCGUGGGGAGCGAACAGG